GGCUGUUCGUGAAGCGGUACGUGGAGCUGGAGUCCUGGGAAGAGCGUGUCCCGUGGCUCGGCUUCGGCCUGGAGUCCGUAAGGGCCAGAGCUGACAGAGAGUCUUUGGGGUUCGCAUGGAUCUUUGUCGUGGACAAAAGAUCUCUGGUCUGGGUUUUACCUGCUCAGGUGUUCCUGCAGCUGGUCUAGUCUCUGCUCCACUUCUCCAUACGUGACGUCACAGUCCAGAUCCUCCUCUUCAGCGGCGCCCUGCUCCUGCGCAGCCGUGUCCACGUCUGCUUUCACUCGCUCGGCUGGCCAUCCGUCAGUCUGCAUCUCUGAAACAUGAUGAUAUAGAUUCAUUUCUCCAAAUCCCAGCGCUGAUCGGUCAGCGUUACCACGGAAACGGAUAUUUCACCGCUCCAAAAGCAGCACCUAGUGGCCGAGAAUGAAUUAGCAUUUUCAUGUCGAAUCCAUAAUAGGGGCACUUUUGCAUCUUUUGAUUUCCUCCGAACACCUGUGGCCGGCGAGAAGAGCAGAGCGACGCUGUACACGGGAAGAAACGCCUCAGGUGCGUGUGACGGGCCGCUGUCUCAGCGCCAGAGCUUGUAUUGGUGUUGUAUUGCCGUGACUUUCCUAUCGCCGGGGCUCAGGACUAAUAGAAACACUAAAGCCGGCGGUUAUCUCUCACACACACCUGCUCCUGCCGGAGCCAGAAGCGCACGCUGAUCACGGCGGCUGCGGCCAAUUUCUGUCCGAUCAGAGGCCGUGUAGAGAAAUUAGAUUGGUCCGGUACAGAUUCACCUUCAUGGAUGGCCGGACACCGAGAAGAAGUCUGAUGUGACCGGCGCGAGGCCGUGAACGAGGUUGUUCUUCAAAAGCACCGUGAAAUAGGAGGUUAGGGCAUUUACGGAGAUGUUGUUUUUUGGGUUUAUUAACCUGGAAGAGACCUUUUAAAUAAUGUGUAAAUCUGCUAAAAGUACUUUUACAGUAAAAUAGCAUAUAGAUGAGCUCAAACUGUCUAAGGUGCCAUAGCAUUUAUAAAGCAGCCUUCCUUUGGUGUUAUUAUUAUUUUAGUAUUGAGAUACUGUAAAAAUACCUUUUAUAGUUUGAUAGUUUUAAAUUCAUUAUUAACAUACUUUUUAUAUAAUAUUUUAAGUAUCAUUUUCAUUUUUUUAAAUAUAUUUUAUUUAUUUUUAUUUUAAA